rnacentral:misc_RNA from 1 species
AAGUCGUAACAAGGUUUCCGUAGGUGAACCUGCGGAAGGAUCAUUAACGAAUAUCUAUAGCGUUGGUUGUAGCUGGCUCCUAGGAGCAUUUGUGCACGCCCGUCAUUUAUAUCAUCUUUCCACCUGUGAACUAUGUGUAGGUCUGGAUACCUCUCGCUUUGGUGACAAGGCGGAUGCAAGGAUUGCUGCCAAGCUCUCUUUGAAUUUCCAGGUCUAUGUUUUUUACACACUCCAUUUGAAUGACGUAGAAUGUAGUCAAUGGGCUUUCAAGCCUAUAAAAAACUAUACAACUUUCAGCAACGGAUCUCUUGGCUCUC